rnacentral:rRNA from 1 species
ACGUAGGAUGCAAGCGUUGUCCGGAAUUAUUGGGCGUAAAGGGUGCGCAGGCGGUUUUUCAAGUCAGAUGUAAAAUCUCCCGGCUUAACUGGGAGGGGCCAUUUGAAACUGGAGGACUAGAGUGCAGGAGAGGAUAGCGGAAUUCCCGGUGUAGUGGUGAAAUGCGUAGAUAUCGGGAGGAACACCAGUGGCGAAGGCGGCUAUCUGGCCUGCAACUGACGCUGAGGCACGAAGGCUAGGGGAGCGAACAGGA